GACGAACGCUGGCGGCGUGCUUAACACAUGCAAGUCGAACGGAAAGGCCCUGCUUUUGUGGGGUGCUCGAGUGGCGAACGGGUGAGUAACACGUGAGUAACCUGCCCUUGACUUUGGGAUAACUUCAGGAAACUGGGGCUAAUACCGGAUAGGAGCUCCUGCUGCAUGGUGGGGGUUGGAAAGUUUCGGCGGUUGGGGAUGGACUCGCGGCUUAUCAGCUUGUUGGUGGGGUAGUGGCUUACCAAGGCUUUGACGGGUAGCCGGCCUGGGAGGGUGACCGGCCACAUUGGGACUGGGAUGCGGCCCAGACUCCUACGGGAGGCAGCAGUGGGGAAUAGUGCACAAUGGGCGGAAGCCUGAUGCAGCAACGCCGCGUGCGGGAUGACGGCCUUCGGGUUGUAAACCGCUUUCGCCUGUGACGAAGCGUGAGUGACGGUAAUGGGUAAAGAAGCACCGGCUAACUACGUG
rnacentral:rRNA from 1 species